CAAUAGCGUAUAUUAAAGUUGUUGCAGUUAAAAAGCUCGUAGUUGGACCUUGGACCUGGACAGGCGGUCCGCCUCACGGCGUGUACUGUCUUGCUGGGUCUUUCCUCUUGGUGAUCUGUUGUUUCGGCAGCAGGGAACCAGGACUUUUACUUUGAAAAAAUUAGAGUGUUCAAAGCAGGCUCGACGCCGGAAUAUAUUAGCAUGGAAUAAUAAAAUAGGACGUGCGGUUCUAUUUUGUUGGUUUUUGGAAUCGCCGUAAUGAUUAAUAGGGACAGUCGGGGGCAUUAGUACUCACAUGCUAGAGGUGAAAUUCUUGGAUUUUGUGAAGACUAACUUCUGCGAAAGCAUUUGCCAAGGAUGUUUUCACUAA
rnacentral:rRNA from 1 species